UACGGAGGAGGCAAGCGUUAUCCGGAAUUAUUGGGCGUAAAGCGUCCGUAGGUGGUUGACCAAGUCUGCUGUCAAAGGGUGGGGCUUAACCUCAUAAAGGCAGUGGAAACUGGUGAGCUAGAGUGCGGUAGGGGUAAGGGGAAUUCCCAGUGUAGCGGUGAAAUGCGUAGAGAUUGGGAAGAACAUCGGUGACGAAAGCGCCUUGCUGGGCCUGCACUGACACUGAGUGACGAAAGCUAGGGGUGCGAAAGGG
rnacentral:rRNA from 1 species